CCUCUGAUAAACGGUCUUUAAAGUAUCAACUACCAAUCUGUACUCGAUUUAAUUCAACUUGACCCCGACUACUCCCCAAGGCCCAGAGCUCUAUAAAACCAAUAAAAAAUUCCACUCACCCACAACCCAAACAGCCCACCAAGCCCAGGACGAAAGUCAACAACCGUAAAACCCAAAAAAGCCACAAAGGACAGGACGAAUAAAAGCGUAAACAGGGAAGGACUAAGACUAUUAGGUUAUCUAUUAGGUUGACAAUUAAAAAACGAGCAAAUGGCGCAUUAAAAACUCCCACCGACAGUUGACAAAACAUGACCUCAACAGGACAUACUUUGUGAGGCGACUAGACUUGUUUGAAGUAGCACUUGAAAAUAAAAUUGUGAGAAAAAGGAUUAAGUUGCCUUCUAUACCUUUGCCUAAAGCUUCCAAAAUUUUAAAAAAUAUACAAUUAGUCAGUUGUUUUUCUCCAUGUAGCCAACACGUUAAUGACAGCACUGUCAACAAUUGAUGGGCGGCGACCUGGGCCCUGGCAUUUGGCCAUUAGUUGGGCCUUUGCCCUCUGAACUUGGUGAGCAGUGAGGACUGGCCAGGAUACUGGCAACAGGACACAAAAGUUUUUAUCUGCGCUGGUCUUCUUUUUCAAUGAUGUCGGCAAUUAGCCACGUUCGGGUCGUCAGCCAAGUUAAUUACUUUGAUCACAAAUUGAUAAGCUGAAUUUUUCAAUUAAUGUGCGAAAUGUGUGAGCCAAAGCCGAGCAGGAAAUGUGAAAAAAAUAAUAGUAAUAAUAAAGAACAAUGAGUACAAAAACCAGCCAACAUCAA